rnacentral:rRNA from 1 species
AACGAACGCUGGCGGCAGGCCUAACACAUGCGAGUCGAGCGAGAUCUUCGGGUCUAGCGGCGGACGGGUGAGUAACGCGUGGGAAUAUGCCUCUUGGUACGGAAUAGCCUCGGGAAACUGGGAGUAAUACCGUAUGUGCCCUUUGGGGGAAAGAUUUAUCGCCAAGAGAUUAGCCCGCGUUGGAUUAGGUAGUUGGUGGGGUAAUGGCCUACCAAGCCGACGAUCCAUAGCUGGUUUGAGAGGAUGAUCAGCCACACUGGGACUGAGACACGGCCCAGACUCCUACGGGAGGCAGCAGUGGGGAAUCUUAGACAAUGGGGGCAACCCUGAUCUAGCCAUGCCGCGUGAGUGAUGAAGGCCUUAGGGUUGUAAAGCUCUUUCAGCUGGGAAGAUAAUGACGGUACCAGCAGAAGAAGCCCCGGCUAACUCCGUG